AGCGGGGUGGGGCAGCCAGGUAGCCCGCUGGGCUCAUAACCCAGAGGUCGGUGGUUCAAAAGGGCCUCAGGCCC
rnacentral:tRNA from 1 species